CACCCAGUCGGUCUGGUCUGGUCCCCUGCAUGUCUUGGGAAGGCUGGGUCCAGAUGGUUUCUCGACUACAAAGAGCUGCAGAUGAAAGCCCCAGAUGGGAGUUCCUGUCUUGACUGGAUGUGAGCGUGUCUGUCCAUCUGCAGUUGGAGCUCAAUGACACUCACAUUCUCUGACUACAGGAUUCUUUACAUUAUUGAGAAAUGGCAGCUGCA